AGAUAAGGAGCUUGCUCCUUUGACGUUAGCGGCGGACGGGUGAGUAACACGUGGAUAACCUACCUAUAAGACUGGGAUAACUUCGGGAAACCGGAGCUAAUACCGGAUAACAUAUUGAACCGCAUGGUUCAAUAGUGAAAGGCGGCUUUGCUGUCACUUAUAGAUGGAUCCGCGCCGUAUUAGCUAGUUGGUAAGGUAACGGCUUACCAAGGCAACGAUACGUAGCCGACCUGAGAGGGUGAUCGGCCACACUGGAACUGAGACACGGUCCAGACUCCUACGGGAGGCAGCAGUAGGGAAUCUUCCGCAAUGGGCGAAAGCCUGACGGAGCAACGCCGCGUGAGUGAUGAAGGUCUUCGGAUCGUAAAACUCUGUUAUCAGGGAAGAACAAAUGUGUAAGUAACUGUGCACAUCUUGACGGUACCUGAUCAGAAAGCCACGGCUAACUACGUGCCAGCAGCCGCGGUAAUACGUAGGUGGCAAGCGUUAUCCGGAAUUAUUGGGCGUAAAGCGCGCGUAGGCGGUUUUUUAAGUCUGAUGUGAAAGCCCACGGCUCAACCGUGGAGGGUCAUUGGAAACUGGAAAACUUGAGUGCAGAAGAGGAAAGUGGAAUUCCAUGUGUAGCGGUGAAAUGCGCAGAGAUAUGGAGGAACACCAGUGGCGAAGGCGACUUUCUGGUCUGUAACUGACGCUGAUGUGCGAAAGCGUGGGGAUCAAACAGGAUUAGAUACCCUGGUAGUCCACGCCGUAAACGAUGAGUGCUAAGUGUUAGGGGGUUUCCGCCCCUUAGUGCUGCAGCUAACGCAUUAAGCACUCCGCCUGGGG
rnacentral:rRNA from 1 species